rnacentral:tRNA from 1 species
GUAUUGGUAGCUAAGUUAGGUCAAAAGCAGUCGUUUGCUAAACGAUGGGUAAAAAACCCCCACAGGUUCAAAUCCUGUCCAAUACA